rnacentral:lncRNA from 1 species
UGGCCCCGGACGGGCAGCGAGGGGCCGCGCGCAGGGACCGGCCCCGGGCACCCCCUGGUCCCCCGAGCGGAUUUCCACGCGGAGAGGAUGUUGGCAGCCCCGGCGACCUGCCGAGACACAGCGGGAUCCACCUUCCAACUCCUGUCUUACCUCGGAUUUCGGUGCUGUCAGUCUGAAAAACAGACGUCCAUUUGGUACUCUAGAUGGACUGUCCUUCCCUGACCUAAAGCUGGGCCAUUUGGAGAUUUGGAGAACAAAGGUUGUUGGCUGUGAUUGUAGCAGAGUCCUGAGCUCCUGUGGAGAUUUGCCUCUCUCCAGCCUUGGGCUAUCUGCAUUCUUGAACAGCUCAGGACCCAGAAGGAAAAGAAGAAUGCUGACCCGCUCUGGGGAUGGCCUGAAUGAAGAGAGCGCGAUUCCUGGUGGUGGCGGCCUCGGCCUGAAGCAGCCUGGCCCUACGCUGGAAACAUUGUCUUCCCGCGGCUCGGGAGCGGGAACGCAGCCCCUGGCUGAGUGUGAGAGAACUGCUCAGAGAUGUUAA